GUGAGCCACUCGAUUGCGACAUACGUCUUCCAGCGAGAUGCGUGUCCUCGAAUCCAAAAUAGAGUGAUUCGAGAGUCUAACUAUAAAUAUAUUAAAGCUGUGGAAAAACUUAACAUGUUACGGAUAUGAAUCGUUAACUUGCGACCAGCAGAUGCAGUGAGAUUGAGCAUUUGCCCUGAAUGCGAAGAUAUGUAACAGAGCUGUAUCUUCGCUCUGAUGCAUCUGCAAAGCCAUAAAUUUCAAAGUGAGCGUUCUUAUCGCCCGUUUUCAAACAACAAUUCACACGAAUGCUUUCUAAAGAUGGAAGUUCUUCGAAAAGGAGCCUUCAUUGUUGGAUGUCGGAUAAUGGAAACGGUGUGUUCUAUUCUAGUCGUUCCAGCCAUGCUGACUGGAUAAGGAUCUUGGCUUGUAUCACGACAGGAGCGAGUCAUCUUAGCGAGUCGAAAAGGCGCACUGUUUCUGCAAAGACGCGCCUCUUUGCGAAUGACGAUGCGCUCUUCAAAUAUGAAAAUUGAUCGCUGUUUAGAUACCAUCAGAGAUUCAACGUGCUGUGACUUUCAUAUUUCUACAAGUGUGAUGAUCUUUGCAGCCGAUGUUCCAGAGGGAAUUCAGUGAGCACUUCGUCAAGAUUGAAAGCAUUCUUGAGAAAAAACCCGCCCACCAUGCAGAGUUCGCGAAGUUCCACUUGUACAGCGAUCGUGUUGUAUACCAUACUCGCUUCAGUAACUAUCGUUGUCGUAGUCGUCAACAUUGCAAUCCCGUCGCAAUGCAUUAGCUCCGUAAGGAUAUCGAGCUCCCUCGUCGGCGAGCUGACAUAGCUUUUGAAUUGUAAGGAAUAAUGCACAAGCGAGACCGUAUGUAAUCGUAUUAAGACGAUACUCGCAAAUGUUAUCAAUGUUGUCAUACCGUCAAAGAUUCGCUGAUAUUCUCGAUCCGCUGGAUGAAGAUUUGAUGGUACAUCUUUUCAAUGUCCGUGACGAUUUUAUUGCGAUGUCGGUCAGUAUGGAGCCGAGGCGAGUGGCAUUAAUUAUAAAG